GGAUGUGAGGGUGAUCUGUUUGUGACAUCUGUCACCCCAUUGAUCACCAGGGUUGAUUUGGCUGUUCUAUCUGGGUAGGUAGGUGUCCCACUCCUCCCUCACUGCUCCAUGUGCAUCCCUCCUGAAGCUGUGUGCUUGAUUGAAGAGGAUAACUUUCCCCAAUAGAGACAGUACUGUUCAUCAGUCAAGGGUACACUUGACUCCCCUGCUAGAACCUCCAAACAAGCUCAAGGUCCAUCUGUAGGAGGACAUAGAGUAGGCAAUCUUCCAAGACUGCAGACACAUCCAAGUGAGGCAUUGCAUGGGGCAGUCUGCCAUUGUUU
rfam:Colinus virginianus strain Texas jcf7180006180097, whole genome shotgun sequence.